AUCCGGCUGACGAGUCUCAUAUAGGACGAGACGUGAGUCCUGGAU
rnacentral:hammerhead_ribozyme from 1 species